UACGAAGGGGGCUAGCGUUGUUCGGAAUUACUGGGCGUAAAGCGCACGUAGGCGGAUAUUUAAGUCAGGGGUGAAAUCCCGGGGCUCAACCCCGGAACUGCCUUUGAUACUGGGUAUCUAGAGUCCAGAAGAGGUGAGUGGAAUUCCGAGUGUAGAGGUGAAAUUCGUAGAUAUUCGCAAGAACACCAGUGGCGAAGGCGGCUCACUGGCCCGGUACUGACGCUGAGGCACGAAAGCGUGGGGAGCAAACAGGG
rnacentral:rRNA from 1 species